CUACGGUGGGCUGCAGUGGGGAAUAUUGGACAAUGGGCGAAAGCCUGAUCCAGCCAUGCCGCGUGUGUGAAGAAGGCCUUCGGGUUGUAAAGCACUUUCAGUGGGGAAGAAAGCCUUGGGGCUAAUACCCUCGAGGAAGGACAUCACCCACAGAAGAAGCACCGGCUAACUCCGUGCCAGCAGCCGCGGUAAUACGGAGGGUGCGAGCGUUAAUCGGAAUUACUGGGCGUAAAGCGCGCGUAGGCGGUCUGAUAAGCCGGUUGUGAAAGCCCCGGGCUCAACCUGGGAACGGCAUCCGGAACUGUCAGGCUAGAGUGCAGGAGAGGAAGGUAGAAUUCCCGGUGUAGCGGUGAAAUGCGUAGAGAUCGGGAGGAAUACCAGUGGCGAAGGCGGCCUUCUGGACUGACACUGACGCUGAGGUGCGAAAGCGUGGGUAGCAAACAGGAUUAGAUACCCCGGUAGUC
rnacentral:rRNA from 1 species